rnacentral:rRNA from 1 species
UACGUAGGGUGCAAGCGUUAAUCGGAAUUACUGGGCGUAAAGCGUGCGCAGGCGGUUUUGUAAGUCUGUCGUGAAAUCCCCGGGCUCAACCUGGGAACUGCAUUUGUGACUGCAUCGCUGGAGUACGGCAGAGGGGGAUGGAAUUCCGCGUGUAGCAGUGAAAUGCGUAGAUAUGCGGAGGAACACCGAUGGCGAAGGCAAUCCCCUGGGCCUGGCACUGACGCUCAUGCACGAAAGCGUGGGGAGCAAACAG